rnacentral:pre_miRNA from 1 species
AGUUGGUAGACUGAUUUCAGUUCCCUUUUCUUUCGACUGAAAUAGGUCUGCUAACUA